CAGUUGAUGAUGAAAGAAGGAAGAAAAUUGUGGAGUUGGGUGGGGCUCAAGAGUUGGUAAACAUGUUGGAGGAUGCCAAAGAAGACAGCACUCGCAUAUCAGCUCUAAAGGCCCUUGCUGCACUUUCACACUCAGAUGAGGCUGUGGGAGCAUUGCACCAUGCUGGGGCUUUUUCAGUAAUUAAGUCUACCCCAGAUUCGUUGGAGGAAUCGGAAAUAAAAAAUUGCCAAAAAUCUCUCUUUGUGAGAUAGAGAUCAUCCUUACAUGCUAACAUGACUUCUUGAUCUAAUUGU
rnacentral:misc_RNA from 1 species